AGUGAACGCUGGCGGUAGGCCUAACACAUGCGAGUCGAACGGCAGCACAGUAAGAGCUUGCUCUUACGGGUGGCGAGUGGCGGACGGGUGAGGAAUACAUCGGAAUCUACUUUUUCGUGGGGGAUAACGUAGGGAAACUUACGCUAAUACCGCAUACGACCUACGGGUGAAAGCAGGGGAUCUUCGGACCUUGCGCGAUUGAAUGAGCCGAUGUCGGAUUAGCUAGUUGGCUGGGUAAAGGCCCACCAAGGCGACGAUCCGUAGCUGGUCUGAGAGGAUGAUCAGCCACACUGGAACUGAGACACGGUCCAGACUCCUACGGGAGGCAGCAGUGGGGAAUAUUGGACAAUGGGCGCAAGCCUGAUCCAGCCAUACCGCGUGGGUGAAGAAGGCCUUCGGGUUGUAAAGCCCUUUUGUUGGGAAAGAAAAGCAGCAGGUUAAUACCCCGCUGUUCUGACGGUACCCAAAGAAUAAGCACCGGCUAACUUCGUG
rnacentral:rRNA from 1 species